CUUGGUCAUUUAGAGGAGUAAAAGUCGUAACAAGGUUUCCGUAGGUGAACCUGCGGAAGGAUCAUUAUCGAAUCGUAGGCGAGGGUUGUCGCUGGCCUCUCGGGGCAUGUGCACGCCCGAGCCCUUGAAUCCCAAACACACAUGUGAACCCACCGUAGGCCUUCGGGCCUAUGUCUUAUCAUAUAAUCCGAAUGUCUAAUAGAAUGUAAACCCAUUUCGUUGCCUUGAAAACGUAACGAAAGAAAACUAUACAACUUUCAACAACGGAUCUCUUGGUUCUCGCAUCGAUGAAGAACGCAGCGAAAUGCGAUAAGUAAUGUGAAUUGCAGAAUUCAGUGAAUCAUCGAAUCUUUGAACGCACCUUGCGCUCCUUGGUAUUCCGAGGAGCAUGCCUGUUUGAGUGUCAUGAAACUCUCACCCUCUAGCUUUCUUAAUCGUGGCUAGCGGCGUGGACGUGAGCGCUGCUGCUUUGUUGCGGCUCGCUCGAAAUGCAUUAGCAGACCCUUUUCGUAAUCGGUUCCACUCAACGUGAUAAGUAUUUCGUUGAGGACAGUUGCAGCAAUGCGGCUGGCCGGGAUAAGAAAGGCAUAGUUGUCAGCUUCUAAUCGCCCUUGGGCAAUUUUUUAUGAUCUGGCCUCAAAUCAGGUAGGACUACCCGCUGAACUUAAGCAUAUCAAUAAGCGGAGGA
rnacentral:rRNA from 1 species